rnacentral:lncRNA from 1 species
UUUGAAUGGUCAAGAGGGUACACUAUGCGAUUUGGAAUAACAUACAUCGAUUUCAAAAGCAAAACUUUGGAACGAAUCCCAAAACUCUCAUCAAAGUGGUUCAACCAUUUCUUAAGCACUUGAAGAUGAUUCACAACCCCAUCAAAACCUAUUUGCCAAGCCAUUAUAAUAAAGCUCCUUAAAGCUAUUUCCUAAGGCAUUAUAUUGUAGUUUUUUUUUUUUUUUUUUUUUUUUUUUUUUUUUUUUUUUUGAUAUUGCAAUUUUGUUAUUUUAAUGUUUUGGGUCAAUAAAAUAAAUUACCUACAGCUAUUGUGUUGUUUGGAUUGAGAAUAUAUAAUCUACUUUAAUAUACCCUUUCACCUUUUCUUUUUUCUUCUCUUUAUUAUGAUUAUGAUUUUUAGACUUAGUUGUAUAAAUGACAUUUAAAAAAAAAGAACAUUAGAAUACAACAUAAAAAUUGGUAAAAGACUAAAAACCUCCACGUCUAUUGUCUUACUUUUUAAAAUAUUUUUUUGGUUGCGUUAUUUGUUGUCACCAUCAUCAUCUUCAAUUUCUCCUUUCCUUGAUGAUUUUAAUUGAUGGAGAAUAGUUGACUUUUAGUUAGAUUUUGGAAAGAAAAAAAAGUAGUAUAAAUAAUAUGACUCAACUUUAUGAGAUGUUUAACACGAACCAUUACGUUCUGUAUGCAAAUUUCAUACAAAAAAAACUAUUUGUCCAUUUGGCUGUAACUACCGACUUUUCAAUUUAAGCUAAGGUCACUAUUCAAAUAAAAUUACGAUUUCAAAAUCCAAAACUAUGCAAAUUUUAGAUACAUUUUAUUAAAGAAAUAAAUAUAAGACAUGUUACACCCUCUUUCGGAUUACCUACUCUCGAAUCAAGAGAGGACGUGAAGUCAAUCGAUAUUGCUCCCCUUCUUAAUGACACCAGCUGACCCUUAACCUUUCACCUUUAACUAAAAUGCAGGCGGAAGUUAACACACAUAACUUAAACACAACUAAGUGCAACUCUUUUCAUUAAACAAAUGACUUUAUAUAAGUUUUACACAAACAUUUAACAGCAACCAUAGAUACAUAGAAAUUGACUCUAUCUUCAACCCUCUUAAAUCCAAGUCUCUUACAAUUAAAAGACCAACUAAAUGUAACUUCUAAAUUAAACAACAAGACAUGUGCGAUAAUAAGAAAAAAUCCUUCAAUAGACAAGAGGCGGUGAAUUAGGCUUUGAGAACAUGACCUCUACUUGAAAAGAAAAAAACAUUUCGAAGAGUAUGAGCUAAACAAGCGCAGUGAGUGAUAGGUUUUUAAACAAUAUUUCGUAGACUAUUUAAAUAGUAAACAUAAAUAAUAACAUGAAUACUUUAACUUGAUAAACAUUUAGGAAACAGUAAAUCAAAUCCUUGUUUUUCUGAUCAUAACCUAAGUAUCUACUCCUGGGAGGUGGUACAGUGAACUCAAUACUAACUCCAAACCCUCAAAGAUGGACAUCCCUAAUCCUUGUUCCUGGGAGAUAGAUGUCCCUAGCUAACUUCGAGCAUGAAGAUAAGUGUCCUUACCUCAAAUUCCUUGCGCCCUUUAACCUAUCCCGAAGGGCUAUUUGAGAUAUCUUGGAUUAGAUAAAACAUGAAUAAACUCAUAUGCUUUGGAAAAAAAUGCUUCAAACCUUUAAAGAUCCUCUUGCAUUUAAGCAAACAUUUUUAAACGUAACCAUGCCUUGAUAAACUCAUUUAUCGAUCCUUGAAAGCCAUAAACAUUUUUCAGCCAUCAUGCUUAAAUAAAUACUUUAAUUAAAUUACAUGCUUAGAAAUCAUUCAUUAAUUAGAUAGCUCAAACAUUUAACUUAAAUUGUACUUAAAACAAGCUUAAGAAACAUAUGAUUCAAAAUCACUUUCAUUUUUCACUUACUGAUAUAAGCUUUAGGUUAUUGGUCUUUACAUUUUUUCAAUCCCUUCCUCACCUAAAGUAAUGGUAAAUAAAUCCAUUUAAUAUUUGUUGACCAUGGAAAUACUAAAAAAUAACUUAGAAAUUUUAAAAACCACCAAAAUGACCCAAAAACACCCAUUGACAUAGGUUGGCACGAAGACAUGGACGAUAGGGGCUUGCCCAUCCUUACCCCGUGCUAACCUUAUGCACAAGCAUGUCGUGCGCCUCAUCUGCAGGGUGCACGUCUAGCAUCUCGCAAGUCCUUUUCUUUACUCUUUCAUAAGUCCUUCUAAGUUUUGUAAUUAUAGAACAAAUAGGGAAAGGAAAGGUCGAUGCAACUCGAAAACAUCAACCUUUCACCACCUUCUUCGACAUUUUACUAAAGACAUUGGAGAAAAUCCAACUAUAAAAUUAAAUGUUGGACUUUUUUCGACGCCAUUUCAUGUACAUGUUGAUGAAAGAUAAUAAUACUUUAUUGUUCUGAAGAAUUUUCCGACAUCGUCAACUCAGACGUCGAAAAAAGGUGAAUAUUUUUACUAUUAUUUGGCCUUUGACGAUAAUGUUAGUAAAUGCAUCAGAAAAAAGCCAAACAUUCAUCGACGUAUGGCACAACGCAUCGGGGAAAGAUAUUAAUAAAAUUUUAAUACAUAACUAUCCCCAAUGUGCUCUGUGGGAGCAUCGACCUUGCCUCUCUAUACCGACGACAAAGACUAGCGCGUCGACUUUGCCUCUCUAUACCAACAUUGUGAAACCAACGUCAAUUUUCCCUUUGUUUGCCGAUGUUCGUGACGACGUCGAAAAACCUCCAUUUUCUUGUAGUGAUAUAUAUAUAUAUAUAUAUAUCACUAAGAAAAUGUAAAAAUGUUGUAUUCUACAAAAGGUAUUUCCUUAACUCACUAAGUCUUUGAUUUAAAUUUGAAGUUUUUCCUCCUCAGGUCAUCAGGCGUAGAAGCCAAGUAAGGAUUGGAUGUCCGGCGUAGAAGCCAAGUAAAGGAGGAAAAGAUGGAUUAUUAUGUAAACUUGUGUAGCGUAGAAGCUGUGACAUGUUCUUUCGUGUUUAAUGAGUCAGUAGGUAAGGACUUCACUCCUUAAUGCCAAGGGUUAUCGAUCAAUUCAAAAGAGGCGUUAAGGACUACACUUAGGUUGAUGAGGCCAAAUUUGACGGUUGGAAGAACUGAGUAGGGCAAAGGAAGCCCUAAAGGUUGUUCCUAAAAUGGUUGUUGGGCAACCAAGAAGAUGGAUGACAACGAUGUCUUUACACCUCUAACUACCCUUGUCAUAAAGAGCAACAUUGGACGGUGGAGUUAGAAAAAUGGAUCAAAACUUAAUUUUAAUUAUAUGGUUCCGCGAGAAAAGGAAUGUAAUUUGUAAACUAUGAGCUCUAUAAAGUAUUAAGUUAAUAAAACAAAAGAGUUAUUUUCUUCCACUGCUUUAUUAUUAUUCAAUCUUAUCACCUAAAGGCUAAAGUUGAUUUUUAUUAUGUAAAAGUGUUAGAAUAUGGAUUAAAGUCUAAAAGUUGUAAACUUUUCAAUGCAAUAAGAAAGUCUAAGUUCGAGGCAAAGGGUUCACGAAGAGACAGGUUAAGUAAGGUGUUUCAUUUACUAGGCAUUAAGCACAUCAUCUUGCAGGGAGAUACACGAUAGGUGACUAGGUGGCACGCCCCCAUCUGGUGGAGUAGCAUUGGGGUGGGGCCUGGCAUUUCUAUAGAUUAUCACAACUUUUUAAUUUGCUAUAAGUUUAUUUUUGUGUAAUUUUAAUUUUUUCUUGAAAUAUAAUGAACCAAUUUCAAUACAUCCUUUGGUUACAUUGAGGUGUAAGAAAGUUAAUUGAGAAACUCUACCAUUCCUUGACAUUUUCUACCACCACUACAAAAUUAGAUGGAAACGGUUAAAAUUGUUUGACCCAAUUGGACAAACAAUUGACCCAACCAUUGAUAUAGCAUCGAAAUUUUGCUAUCUAAUCCCUUUUAAUUUGAGAUCGUUAUAUGAUUUUAUGUUUGUAUUUGGCUAUUUUAUAAAUUUCGAGCAAUUCAAAGGUAAAAUCUGAUGUUCACGUCCUUUUGGAGAUAAAAUGAGUGAAAAAAAGUCAAUAGGCAUCAACCGGGGUGAAGCAUGAAGAAAAGAAGCCAAAUUGGCAUUUACCUUACAACGUUGCGGAACCCUACAACCUUAAUGCAAUUGAUAUUAAUUUGGAUUUUGUCUCAUUCUCAUCGAUUCGACAGAUUAUCAAUUAGUUACUCGUGACAAAUUGAUUGACUUUUCCAAUUGAAUUUGGGUUAGAUGAAGCCAACCCUUGAACCUAGUAAUAAGAAACGCACAUGAAUGAAUGCAUUGUAUACAAAAUUUUCUUUAAUUAACUUAACCUAAACUCUACUUAAUAUUAAAUUUCUUAGGUUUACACAUAUUUUGAAUUCAAAAUAACUGAAAACCACCCCAAUUACCUUAGGUUACGUUGGAAACCAUUUGUUUGAGAAAUUUACGUACUCCCUAUAUAAACGAAUUAUUGAUGGUGUGCAAUUCGGUUAAUUCAUUUGGUCUAGAUUUGGACAAAGAAAUUAAUCCGCUUGAUCAACCCUCCAUCAAAAUGAUAUAUUAAACCUAAAUUUCAGAACCUAUAUAUUCUUAAUUAUUUCUCCAUCCGUGAUUAGAUUUGAGAUCAAAGGUAAUUAAUACCGAUUAUUAUUAUAGAAGCUAAGUUGUGAUGCAAUUUGAUCGAUCUUGUUGAUGAAAGGUCACAACCUACAUUACUUAAUAUUUUAUUUAUUUAUUAUUUAUUAUUAUUAUAAAUAUUAUCUCUCCAUCUUUCUCAACUGAUAAGAUUAAUCAAAAUUAUCAUUAACAUAUAAUCUAAAUUUUAUAACUUUAAAAAUGUACGAAAACUCAUUUUUUAUGUGGGAAAGUAUUAAAUAUUUACCUGCAGUCAACAUCUUAUCAUCUAACAAUAUAUCUAAUUAAAUCCAACCUGUUUUCUCAAAGAGAAAAAAACAAAUUAAGGUUUGGUAGAUGUGUUUUGUUCCCUUUCUUUUUUCUUUAGGUCAAUAUUACGUGGGAAACUAUUAAAUACUAUUCAAUGGUCAAUUAUUAAAUGACUAUUUUAAAAUUUAACAAAACCAAUUAAAUAUUUUCACUGUUAAAUUGAAGGUCUUCUUGCAAAUUUAACAAAAUAAGUUUAAAAAAUUAGACUACUUUUGCAAAACUCAAAAAAAAAAAAAAACAAUUUUAUGGUAUGAAAUGUCAAUAUAUCCAAACAUUUGAUAUAUACACUUGAUACAUUUUUUAAGAGUUUGAGAACCAACUAACUAAAAUAAAUCGAAAAUUUAAGAAUUAAUUGAUUUUUUUCGGUCGCUUCCAUCUCUAAACUUACAUAUACUUUAAUAUUCACCCAUGACCCAUGACAUAUGUGAAACAUAUAUAUUUAUCAUAUUUUAAUAUUUCAAAGCACAUAACAUAUAUAUGUAUAUGUAUAUAUGUUAAAAUAAUAAUUAAAAAAGGAAACCCAUCCAAUAGCUUGUAGUUUGGCCUCACUAUAAGAAGCCAAUGAGAAAGUUGAAGUAUCUCACCAAUCCAAAACUAAAGCCAAGAAGGAUAAUAAGGGUUUUUUCUUAAUUUCUUGGCUCUAAUUUCUUUGACGUAUUUUUCCCUUAUCCUUGUAUACUACUUUCAAUGGCUGAAGAGGCUUCAGACUCCUCUUUCAUUCCCAUAAUUAGGAGAAGCACCUUCCCUCCAGACUUUGUUUUUGGUUCUGCAUCAUCUGCUUAUCAAGUACCAUAAAAACACACUUCCUUCUUUUCACUUUUAUUCUUUGAUUUUCUAAACGUACAAUAAUAUUAACAUAUAACGUAUGUGUAUACAUAUACAUAUAUAUUGUAUUUUAAUAGUACGAAGGUGCUGCUUUUGAGUAUGGGAGAACACCAAGUAUUUGGGAUACAUUUACUCAUCUACACUCUGGUUCUUCAUCUUUCUUCCUCUCCGUCUAUCUCUUUCAAUAUGAAAAAAUAAGAAUAAAUAAAUGAGGAAGUAAGUUAUGUUUGUUUUUGUGGAACUCCAGAUAGGAUUGAUGAUGGCAGUAAUGCAGAUGUAACUGUUGAUCAAUACCAUCGAUACCAGGUUUGUAAGAUUUAUAUUAUAGUUGCAGUACAAAAAAUUAAAAAAUUGGCCGACCACAAUUCUUUUAAUUAUCUUAAUAACUACUUGAUUUAUCCAUUGGAAAUGUGCAUUAAUUAUUGUUGGUGUACAAUACAGGAAGAUGUUGAGAUUAUCAAGAAAAUAGGUUUUGAUGCAUACAGAUUCUCAAUUUCAUGGUCUAGAGUGUUGCCAAGUAAGGAUUUAAGUAUCACUUAACAUAUGUAAAAAAAAGUUACCUUCAGUUUUUGUAUAUUAAUUUAAAAGAAAAAAGAAUUUUGAUUUAUGAAGAAAAUCUUGGCAUCUAACACUUUUUUGAUAGGAAAGAAAGCAUUAAUUAAGGUCAACAUUAGUAUUUUUCUUUAAAAGUAACCCUAAUACCUAAUUGCUGACCACAUUGCCCCUAAUGAUAUAGUAUUUGGAAACCAUUAUUUAAGAUUUGAUAGUUUAGAUUUGACUUUAGAUCAAAAUCUAAAUAAUAAUUUUUUAUACACGUUCAGAUUGAUUGUUUAAAUUUAGGUUGUCAAAUUUCAACGAUUCUUUUAAAGAUUUCUUGGAAAACGAUCGAUACAUGAUCAUUUAAAUUUGGACAGCCAUAUAUAAACAGUUUUUUUUUUAAGAUUCUUUGUUGCACGAUUGUUUAAAUUUGACUGUUUUUUUACACAAUCGUUUAGAUUUAAUAUAGAAUUGUUUAGAUUUGAUCGUUUAAAUUUAGACAAUCAAAUUUAAACGAUUUUUUAAGAUUUUUUGUAUACGAUAGUUUAAAUUAGGCUAUUUUUGUACACGAUCGUUUAAAUUUAUUCAUUUAAAUUUGAAAAGGCAAAUCUAAUCGAUUUUUUAAAAGAUUUUUUUAGGGUAAAUUUGGCUAGGAUAGUUAAGAUUUGGAUAUCGAAUAUGCCAAUGAUUUUUUUCACGAUCUUUUAUAUUUGUCGCACGAUCUAAAUAAAAAAAAAUUAAAAGAUAUUGUAUAUUUGGUACACGAUUUUGAACCAAUUAACGGUUUGAAAGAAAAAUAAAAGAAAAAUUGCAAAAGAAGAGAAAAAGAGAACGAUGAAAAAUAUAUAAAACAUGACAUGAAUAAAUUGGAAAGAAGAAGAUGAAUUUGUUAUAAACCAGUAAGGAAAAAUAUGAAAUUCUAAAAAAAUAAUCAACCUUAAUGAAUUUUCUUAAAUUGUUCUAUAGACCGUAAACACAUUAUUGUCGUUCUGUUAUAUUUAUGAAAAUUAUCUAUUAAACUAAUCAUUACAAUAAAAUUUAAUAAAGUUGUAUUUGCUUUUUUUUUUGUACUUUGACAAAUAGACAUUUAUGUUUUUUAUGUCAAAUUUAUACAUAUAUCUUAAAAUAUAAUAAAUAAAUAACGUAUCUUCAACCCAUUCAUAUCUUAGUUUCUUAAUAAUGACAUAUUGCGAAAUCUGGUCGUAUUAAUAUUGUAUAUCAGUAUUAAUGUUUGUGUUUUUCAUAAACAAAAACAAAUUCUUUUAAAGUUAUUUUUUAAGAUUUUAAGCCAAUAUUAUAUAAUCAAUAACAAACGAGGAAAAUUGGAGGUGAAAAUAAUAACUAUAGACUUUAUUAUAUUAUUAUAAAACUAAACUUUUUAAAUCUCACUUAUAUAAGUGUUAGUUAACUUUUCAAUACAUUUAGAUAAUUUUAAUCGUAGUACAUUCCAUUUUACGUGCAUACAUAUAUAUAUAUAUAAUUUAAUUGAGAAUGAUUUAUGUAUUAAUUUAUGUUUUGUCAACGUUUUGAAAAUACAUAGCGGGAAAGCUUUCUGGUGGUGUAAAUCAAGAGGGAAUUGACUAUUACAAUAGACUAAUCAAUGAUCUCGUUUCAAAAGGUUGGUGUAUUAUUAUAUAUCUUAAAUACUUCAUUGUUUCGUUCAAACGCGCUUUGGUCUAAUUAAUUAUUCUAAUCAAAUGAUUUGGGUUAAUUGACUUCAUAAUUUUAAUCCAUAUUUGGAAUUGUAAUUAAUUUGUAGGCAUCCAACCAUUCGUAACAAUAUUCCAUUGGGAUGUUCCUCAAGCUUUAGAAGAUGAAUAUUUAGGCUUCUUGUCCGAACAAAUAAUGUGAGUAUACCCUUUCUUUUUUCUUUUCUAAAUCAAUGAUAAUGGACAUAUAUUAUAGUAUUAAUAUUACUGUUUUUAUAUAUAUAACAAAAUACUUCCCCUACUAUUAUUAAAAACAAAAUUCAUUCAUCUUCUUUCUUUGUUUCUCUCUCCUCUUAAUUAAGUUAAUAAUAUGUAAAAUGAGAUGGUUGACUUUUAAACAUGUUUGAUGAUAAGUCCUUAGUUGAUAUACAUAUUCAUAUUGGCAUAUAAUAAUAAUCAUAAUAAUUAAUUAUUGAAUAAUAUUAUAUUGAGAUAUAAACUCUUUUAGUUGUUAAAUUGAAGAUUCAUGUAUAAAUUAAGCUUAAAUAGCUUUAUAUUUGUAUCAUAAUUAACCAUUACUAUAUUUAAAUAGAAGUUUAAUUUAAUAAGGGUGCUCAAUAUAUAAUAAAGUUCUUAGUUUGAUUUAACCUAAUAAUAAUAUCAGAUUUGUUUCCAAACCAUUUUUGUUCGAACCCAACUUUCUCCUCUGUCAAAUAUGUUCAAAGUAAAUAUAUCCCAAAGCUUUGCUUUCUUCUUUUUCUGUUUUAAAAGUUUUGGCUAAAUCAUUAGACGAGAGUCUAUCAAAAAGUUACUAAAAUAGAACAAAGAAAUUGUAAAAACACAUAUUAGAGAUCCUGAAAUAGAAAUAGAAACAUGUGGUUCAAGGAAAGGAAAUAACAUGAAUAUUAUUGUUGAUUUCAGAGAUGAUUAUCGAGACUUUGCUGAGCUUUGCUUCAAAGAGUUUGGAGAUAGAGUGAAACAUUGGAUCACUUUUAACGAGCAAUAUAUCUUUAUCUUAUAUGGUUAUGCAAUCGGGCUAUUUGCACCUAGUCGAGGCUCUUCUUCCAAACAAUAUGAUUAUCUUUGUGAAGAUUCUGAGCAUAAACAUGUUGGUCUUGUAUCACGGAGAGACUUUUUCUGGAAACUAUUAGAUUGUGAACUCGAGGGAAAUCCUGGAACUGAACCAUAUAUUGUUGGUCACAAUCAAAUUCUCGCACAUGCUGCUGCGGUUAAACUUUACAAGUCUAAAUAUGUAAUAUUUUUCCCAUAUUACCUAAAAAUUUUAUUUUGAUUAAUUUCAUUGGUUAAAAAGCUCAAAAUUUUAUAAUUUAUUGACGUUGAAGUAAGUUAAAAUUUUCACAUAUUUUUCGACCAUUUUCUCGUAUGGUUUUUGUAGGAGUAUCAAAAUGGUCAAAUUGGGGUGACAUUGAAUACGGAUUGGUAUGUCCCAAAUUCAAAUCAUGAGGAUGACAAAAAAGCUGCAUCUCGAGCGCUUGAUUUUUCUCUUGGUUGGUAAGUCAAAUAAUUAAUAUAUAAAGAGACUGAUCGCAUAGUUUAUCAAGUUUCCCAAGCCUUGAAUUUUUUUUGAAUUAACUUAUUAUGUUGAAACAAUUUAAACGUUAUUAUUUGUAGGUUUUUGCAUCCAUUGGUGUAUGGAGACUAUCCAGACAGCAUGAGAGAACUUGUGAAGGAGAGAUUGCCAAAGUUCACAGAUGAUGAAGUUAGUUUGGUGAAAGGGUCUUAUGAUUUUCUUGGAAUCAAUUACUACACAUCUAAUUAUGCAAAAAAUAAUCCCAAUGUUGAUCCUAACAAACCAAGCCAAGUCACUGAUGCACAUGUCGAUGUUUCAAGUAAUGCACGGUUAAUUAUAUCUUAAUACUACAUCAAAAUGAUCUUAUAAUUUUAUAUAUCUUUUAUUUUUACUUUUAUUAUUAAUUUUCUUACACACGAGCACUUCUUAAAAAUAGCAAAAUAAAUUAAAAUAUUUACAAACUAUAGCAAAAUGUUGGAUUCUAUCCGUAAUAAAAUUUGCUAUAAGUUGUAAAUAAUUUUGUAAAAUUUGUUAUUUUUUAAAAAUCGUCCUUUAAAUUUUUCUAUAUUUUGACUUUGUCCAUUUGUGUGUUUCUUAAUUGUAGCUGAUCGAGAUGGAGUUUCAAUUGGUCCAAAGGUAAUCCAAUGUUUGAAUUACAUUACUUUGUUUAAAUAUUUAAUUUUAUGCAGUUUUCCUCUUUUUAAUCAAAUGAUUUGUUUAUUUUUUAGGCCGGUAAAGAUUCUUGGCUUGCAGUUUAUCCAGAAGGGCUGAAAGAUCUUAUGAUACAUAUGAAGCAUCAUUAUGAAGAUCCAAUCAUCUACAUCACAGAAAACGGUAUUACAAUUAAUUUUACUAUACACAUAUAUAGAUACCACGUGCUUGAUGUUUAUAAUAAUCUUAUUGAUUAAUAUAUUUUCUAAAUACAGGAUAUCUUGAUUAUGAUAGUCCCGAUGUUGAGAAAUUACUCAUGGAUGAGGGUAGAGUUAAAUACUACCAACAACAUCUCAUUAAACUUCAUGAGUCAAUGAAGUGAGUAACUAAAUAAAUUAUCACAAUUUCUUUUGCUAAAGACCGUAAUAGACUAUUAUAUGUGUCUAUCUGUGUCAAGAUAGGCAGAUAGACACAAACCAUAAUUGUGAUAAACUACGAUACUUUACUAUAUUUGUUGAUAUUUUAGUUCAUUCUGUUAUAUUUGGAAAUGAUACAAAUUAUAUUUUCUAUAUUGUUGACUGAUAGUAUAAUUUGGAAUAUGUAUAUUGCAGGGCUGGAGUAAAGGUAAAAGGAUAUUUUGCAUGGACAUUGUUGGAUGAUUUUGAAUGGGCGAGAGGAUAUACUAUGCGGUUUGGAAUAACUUACAUUGAUUUCAAAAACAAAACUUUGGAACGAAUCCCAAAACUCUCAUCAAAGUGGUUCACUCAUUUCUUAAACACUUGAAGAUGGAUGAUUCACAAUCCCAUCAAAACCUAUUUGCCAAGCCAUUAUAAUAAGGCUCCUUAAAGUUAUUUCCUAAGGCAUUAUGACAAAGCCUCUUAAAGCUAUUUCCUAAGGCAUUAUAUUUUUGUGUUGUUUUUGUUUUUGUUUUUGAUAUUGCAAUUUUGUUAUUUGAAU